CAGGCAGAUAGAAGUUCCUGUCACUUUCUCCUUUUUUAUGGAGUGGAAUGUGAUACUCCUUCUAGUGGAAAUACCAGUCAAAUGUCCAUGGGUCUUGAAGUGUCACUACAUACUCCUGAGCCUCUCUCCAGAAGGGAAAAGGGAACUCCUCUAUGGAUAGUGCAGCAGGAUGCAGCGGAACCCCCCGACUUGCCGACAAGCGCAGACCAGUCUAGAAGUGGCCCUGUACAUGUUUCUGCAGAACCCUGACACUGAAGCUGUUCUGGUUGCCAUGUCCUGUUUCUGCCACCUCUGUGAGGAAGCAGAUACCCAGUGUGGGGUGGAUGAAGUGUCAGUGCAUAACCUCUUGCCCAACUCUAACACAUUCAUGGAGUUUGCCUGUCAGCAAUGUGAUGUCAACAGGCUUGGGAAGAUACACAUGCAAAAUGGGAACAAGCAACAAAACUAAUCCUUAGCUAUCCAAAAGCCCAAGUGGAAGAUGGCCAGGCUGUUGAAAGCUUCACAAGACCAUUGUUAAGAGGCGAAUGUCCCAUGUGAGUGGAGGAGGACCCAUAGAUUUGUCUGACACAGACUCCCUACAGGCAUGGAUCAACAUGACUGGCUUCCUUUGUGCCCUUGGGGGAGUGUGCCUCCAGCAGAGAAGUAAUUCUGGCCUGGCAACCUCUAGCCCACCCGUGGGUCCGGUCAGUGAACAUAAGGGUUCCAUGAUUUCAGUGAUGUCCUCAGAGGGAAACGCAGAUACACCUGUCAGCAAAUAUAUGGAUCAGCUGUUGUCGUUAAUGGUGUGUAACCUUGAGAAAGUGGGACUUCAAACACCGACCAAUGAUAAGGACCUAGUGGGUCUAGAAUUGAGUCCUGCUCUUUAUCUGAUGCUAUUUAACAAAUUGAAGAAGACCCAUCACCAAGUUUUUUGACUCCUAAGGACAGGUUUUAUUGACUGAUACCAAUACUCAAUUUGUAGAGCAAACCCUAGAUAUAAUGAAGAACUUGCUAGAUAAUCAUACUGAAGGCAGCUGUGAACAUCUAGAGCAAGCUAGCAUUGAAACAAUGAUGUUAAAUCUGGUCAGGUACGUUUGUGUGCUUGGGAAUAUGGUCCAUGCAAUUCAAAUAAAAACGAAACUGUGUCAGUUGGUUGAAGUAACGAUGGCAAGGAGAGAUGACCUCUCAUUUUGCCGAGAGAUGACCUCUCAUUUUGCCAAGAGAUGAAAUUUAGGAAUAAGAUGGUAGAAUACCUGACAUACUGGGUUAUGGGAACAUCAAACCAAGCAGCAGAUGAUGAUGUAAAAUGUCUUACAAGGCAUCAGGUACAUGAAAAAGAAGAGAUCAAGGCUUUGAAAACGUUAAGUAUUUUCUACCAAGCUGGGGCUUCCAAAGCUGGGAAUCCUAUUUUUUAUUAUGCUGCAUGGGGUGAGAAAUACUAUGUUUGGUGUCUCCUCUCAACAGAAUUUUUUCAAUGAUAGCAAUUAUAGAGAUGGCAAGUUUGGUUUUUCAUAUUUGACUUAACAAGAAUUGAAGACAAGUUUACCUGGGAGCAUACAGUGGGUUUAAAUAGCCUGCCUUUCCUAAAAUGAUGGUCAGUAUCUAGUAACUGCUUUUCAGACUACCCAUUUCAUAUUGGUUUCCCUGUCCUACAUCAUUUUUUAAAAUACUGCCUACAAUGGAUUAAUUACCAAGAGUUAAAAAACCACAAAGCAUCUUUUGUUUUCAAGUAUAUUCUGAUUAAAUAGUACAACA